rnacentral:rRNA from 1 species
UACGGAGGGCGCAAGCGUUACUCGGAAUCACUGGGCGUAAAGGGCCCGUAGGCGGCCUAGCAAGUCUGGUGUGAAAGCCCAGGGCUCAACCCUGGAAGGGCACUGGAAACUGUUAGGCUUGAGUUCCGGAGAGGAGGGGGGAAUUCCCGGUGUAGCGGUGAAAUGCGUAUAUAUCGGGAGGAAUAGCGGUGGGGAAGGGGCCCCUCUGGACGGAAACUAACGCUGAGGCGCGACAGCGUGGGGAGCAAACAGG